rnacentral:rRNA from 1 species
GACGAACGCUGGCGGCGUGCUUAACACAUGCAAGUCGAACGGAAAGGCCCUGCUUGCAGGGUACUCGAGUGGCGAACGGGUGAGUAACACGUGGGUGAUCUGCCCUGCACUUCGGGAUAAGCCUGGGAAACUGGGUCUAAUACCGGAUAGGAGCCAUUUUUAGUGUGAUGGUUGGAAAGUUUUUUCGGUGUAGGAUGAGCUCGCGGCCUAUCAGCUUGUUGGUGGGGUAAUGGCCUACCAAGGCGGCGACGGGUAGCCGGCCUGAGAGGGUGGACGGCCACAUUGGGACUGAGAUACGGCCCAGACUCCUACGGGAGGCAGCAGUGGGGAAUAUUGAACAAUGGGCGCAAGCCUGAUGCAGCGACGCCGCGUGGGGGAUGACGGCCUUCGGGUUGUAAACUCCUUUCGCUGGGGACGAAGCUUUUUGUGACGGUACCUAGAUAAGAAGCACCGGCUAACUACGUG